rnacentral:lncRNA from 1 species
AACAGGAAGAGAGAAUUUUCAUAUACAUGAGGCCUGAAAUCGGUAAGUGUCAUUUCUACUCUGAGUCCAGUGGUCAGACAUCAAUCACCUAACUGUAAUGCAGUCUGGGAAAAGCAGACCAUAAAUGUGAAACUGAAAAAUUAAAUGGAAUUUGAUUAACACACACACUAUUUGCCAGAGUAUCACAGCAUCAUUUAACUACUGACAGAAAUUCUUCCAACUCAGCUAUUCUGUCUACUAUGAAAUUCCUUUUUGUAUUUUAUCCUACUUGAAAUGUUGACAUUGCUAGUGAAAUCAAGGUGUCACAUCAAGUGUAACAGUCAUUCUCAGCCUAAAGAGAAAAGCCACUAAAAUAUUUUUAAAUAAUGCUUUCCUGCUUUGCUCAAUUUCUUAUUGAAAGUAGCAUCUUCUGGCCCUAUCAUCAGACAUAGAUAGGAACAGAUGAGUACACAAUGUACAACAAGUACACUCCAACAUUCUCUUUUCCAUGCCUCUUUAGAUUCUGCCUCUGUAUCACAUUAAGUAAUCUCAUAGAAACUUUGCUUAGUGUGAUCCAUAAGGACACCAUAUUCAGUCAAUCAGCUAAAGCAAAACAUUAGAAUCCAGCUGCAUGAUAUAAUGCAGUGAAUUUAGAAUCUCUCUUGUAUGCACAAAUAUUCAUAAAUUAUCUCUUUAUUAAUUUAACAAUUUAUUAUUAACCAUUUUCCAUGUUUCUGACGAUGUCUUAGGUAUUGGGAAUAACUGCACAGAACAAAAUAAAACAAACUUGUCUUCAAGGAACUUGAAUUCUUACUGGAAAGACAAAUGAAGGUCAAGCAAAAAUAUCUAAAGAAUUUGAGGGAGUAAACAAAGGAAAUAUCCGAGGGUAGAGUUUUCCAGGCAGAGGGGAUAACAAAUGCAAUGGUUCAGAGUUGAAAUAAUACCUGACAAAUGUAACUAAAAUCAUGCUCUUUCCCACUUAAUCUAAUAACCUCAGAAACUAGUCUCACACAUAUUCUUGAGAUUAUUUCCAGGGCAGCAAAUACGUUGAAGUAGCAGGAUUUGUAGGGUGCAAUAUAUAAGAAUAUUUUUUAUUCCUGCUUCCUAUCCACACUUGAAUUUUGGAACUAGUUCUCCUUUCACUUGGGUGAAAUCUAGGAUAUGUCCCAUGACAUUUUUGCUUGUAAAAAAUUGCUUGUAAAGUAAUCCUCCUGUCAACCCUAGUCAUGAAACAGUUUCCACUCAAAGGGCAGAGAGAAAAUGGGAAGAAAUUAAAAUCUUAUAUAACGGGAUACUACUGUUAUGUUCAUCUAGUAUUGACAUUUUUCAGGCUGGGGUAGUAUUUAAAGUUGACCUUGUAUGUGACAUCUUUAAAGAUUCUUAGGAAGUCCUCAUUGUUGAGGAUCUCUCACAUGCUCUUCUCUUGAAAUGUAUUAAUACACAUAUUUGGACAAGUCACUUUUGACUCUGUUAGCCUUUAAGUUUCCAGCAGCAUAACUCCAGAUUGUUUUUAUUAAUGUUUCCUUGAUCAUCCAGAAGACCAUCAUAAUCUAGAUUUAUGACAUCCCAAAAUAGUUCUAAUCUCCUUUUUGGCCCUGUCAUAUAUAUGGGAGUGAUUCACACAUCCUUUGCCCAAUAUGAUUCCCAAAUUCAAACUGUCUUCAGUUUGGUGUCACAGUGAAGUAGUUGAUCAGCCAGUCUUAUAUCUUUUAGAUUUCACAGGGAUGACUCAAAUACCUACUAUGGUACCCAUUUCCAGGACCUCCAAAAGAUCCUAUUGAAGUUUAUUGCCCUAGGUUUGAGGUGACAACAAGAACUCCUAUUCCUCCAUCUUCUUUUGGGGCAUUAAGGGAAUACCAGCAGCUCAUUAGAAAUCUUCUU